rnacentral:rRNA from 1 species
UACGGGGGGGGCAAGCGUUGUUCGGAAUUACUGGGCGUAAAGGGCUCGUAGGCGGCCAACUAAGUCAGACGUGAAAUCCCUCGGCUUAACCGGGGAACUGCGUCUGAUACUGGAUGGCUUGGGAUUGGGAGAGGGAUGCGGAAUUCCAGGUGUAGCGGUGAAAUGCGUAGAUAUCAGGAGGAACACCUGCGGUGUAGACGGCUUUCUGGACCAUUGCUGACGCUGAGACACGAAAGCGUGGGUAGCAAACAGG